AGCGCUGCAUUGAUGGCAGUAAUGCUGGACGUGAAAACUAACCUUCACCAGAGACGUGACCUCGCCCAACAACAUGGAUCAAUUUUGCUUCACGAAAACCCAAAGAAGAAAGUGAUUCAACCACCGCGACUUACAGUUCCUCCAUUGGAAGCUCGCCUCUCCCCAUUUCCAUCUUCCCCGAGGCCAAUCGCUGCCGGCUUCCGGCCAGUACGAAAAUAAACCCGGUAACGGGAGCCGGCCGCAGUGUUCACGUCUGAAGCCGCUUCAAGUGUCCCGGUCCGCUUCUACUGCUCUCAAGUCUCAUCCGCCGACAUAAAGAGGCAACAGCCUGAAUCUCCAGCUGUACCCCCAGGGGGGGCCUCCACAGAUGAACCAGGGCUGUGAAGCUGCAUCCCUGGUAGUGAAGCCUCCCUCACUGCUUUCAGCCACUCAGGGGACCUUGUCCACUGUGUCAACAUCUACAGCGUCAGGGUGCUCGGGAGGAAGCGUGGCCUCUUUUCAGCCGCCUGCUGUUUACUCUGGGUGUGGAUGAGUGCAGUGUCCCAGGGAUGGACCGAGUGGACAGCCUGGCAGAGUAUUUGAUGGUGCUGAGGAAUGAAACUGGACAAACACUGAGCAACCAGCAGGCCACCACCAUCAAAGCCCUGUGGCAGAACCUUCUGCGUAUAGGACCAGCAGCGAGUGGCAUACACUGCAUGGCACCGCGUGUGGCUGACAACAGGACGCUUCAGGUGUUAUUAAAAAAAAAAAACCCUGAAUUUAAACCAGGUGUGGUGAGCAUGUUAUGUUGUGUCUGAGCAUCAACAGGAUCCCCUGCCAAGUGGCCAGACUGUUGUCAUCUCGCAGAGUCCAACUUUGUCAGACUCUGUAACAUUAAGAGCCCUAAAAAACAAGCAGUUAACCUCUGACAAGCUGGACUCAGAUUCUCAGAGACUACAGCAAGAUCAGGCAGCUGGUCCUGGGUAAUGGUACGGUCACGCACAACACUCCUCUGCAGUUGUUUGAUGUGAAUCAGACGGUGGCACAACAAGCGACUGAUGGGGUAGAAAUGUAGUAUUCUGCUGCAAGGAGUCAACCUGCCUGCUGCCUCUAUUCCUGCUGCUCCUGUGUCUCUCCCACCGGUACAGCUACACCCCACAGCCUGCUUCUUCUAUCAGCCCAUUGCUGUAAUAAUUUAAUUAUCAUCCCAUGUAACAGGUCUGGUAUUUCAGGAAAGUCAGCAUUACAGAAAUAACAUACUGUAUAUACUGACAAAUAUUGUGUGUUCCUG